GGGGCUGUAGCUCAGUUGGUUAGAGCAGGGGACUCAUAAUCCCUUGGUCGCGGGUUCGAGCCCCGCCGGCCCCA
rnacentral:tRNA from 1 species